UACGAAGGGGGCUAGCGUUGUUCGGAAUCACUGGGCUUAAAGCGCGUGUAGGCGGGAGGGCACGUCCGUCGCUGAAAUCCCCCGGCUCAACCGGGGAACGGGCACGGAUACGACCUUCCUGGAGGGGCGUAGGGGGACCUGGAACUUCCGGUGGAGCGGUGAAAUGCGUUGAGAUCGGAAGGAACGCCCGUGGCGAAAGCGAGGUCCUGGACGCCUACUGACGCUGAGACGCGAAAGCCAGGGGAGCGAACGGG
rnacentral:rRNA from 1 species